rnacentral:lncRNA from 1 species
CCAAAUAAAAAGUUCACUAUUCUCAGCAUGAUAUCAAAUUCCACAAUGGUACCACUGAAGAAGGUGACUUCUCAAUAGAUGCAGUAACCUUUUCAGCACCAAUGGACUGCUUUGGAGAUUUAGAUUCCUUAGUUUCCAUGAAAGGUUCAGUUUUGGAGAUUCCACGGAGUCCGAGGGAAACGGUUGUCUGAAAUUGGAAAAGAUGUCAAAAGAAUGUAGAAACUA